rnacentral:misc_RNA from 1 species
UUUUUUUUUUUUUUUGGAUAACUGUAGGGCACUCAAUUUUAGUGACCCAGAAACUUCAUCCUAAUUUUAUCUCAAGGGAAGGUUAAAAAAAAAAUGUCCAUUUUAAAAAAUUACAAUCCAGAAUUUGAAACUAGCUUAUCUUGUUGAAUCUUAGAUAAACUAAACUUUACCAGGUACCCUCUUCUGUUUUGGCUGAUGAGUUUAGAGAAUUCAUAUUUUGGAAAUGUGUAUCAUUGAUAUACUCAUAAAUUUAAAAAGUGAAGAAAAAGUGUUACAAUGUAAAUGAAGACUUGUUUUUUGGGAUGUUGGAAGCCUUUGGUGGUUUUCUUAUUUGUUACAAUGUAAAUGAAGACUUGUUUUUUGGGAUGUUGGAAGCCUUUGGUGGUUUUCUUAUUUGUUGCAAUGGCUGUGAAUGUGGAGACCUCUAGCCACCUUGUGUUCUCGGAGGACAAUUAAGCAUAACAGUGUAAAUAAUAUGUGCACAUGCAGACUCUCAUUCCCAAAUUGUUAGAAAAAACUGAAAAUAAGGCUUGGCUGGCAAAUUUAAAAUCUAGGAAAGGAUAUUACUUGAGCAUGGUGGGGAAGUUUUAAUCGCAGAAUGCCAAUCAAAAGAAGGUACUCUGUAAUAAUUUUUUUUUUAUGCUUAAAGUGAUUAUUCGAAAAUUUUUCUGAUGGUUGACUUUUAGAAUUAGUCUUGAAUUAUAAUUUACUGUGGAAAAAUUUCCUAGAUUAGUCAUGUAAGGAAAUAUAACAAUUUGAUCAUUUGGAAGUUCAGUUUCUCAUCGGCUUUACUUGUGCAAAAAUCAAAGGUAGUCUUGAGGAUCUUAUUUGUUGGUGUCAUGGUGUGCAAUUGUAAAUGAGAGCAAAUCAUGUAAUAUAGAUGAGUAUAGUAUUAGGCGGAGUAACAGCAAAACAAUAAUAAUUGGCAAUGAAUUUAAAAUGUAAGAUUAUUGAUAUUUGAAUUUACGUCCAAAAAGUAAGAUAGCGCGACGGAAAAUUCAGGGAUUUAAAGAUUUUCUCUGUUUGUUUUAGUAGAAAUAUGUGCAUGAUAACUAAGAGAUAUGCAAAAAUAAUUUCGUAGAGUGUAGAUGUAAAAUGCACUAUUGUGAAUUUGUACAGGAUGUUUGGUUUAAAAAAAGUGAGAGGGUUUUUUAUAGAAAAGUAGAGCACUGUGCAAUGUGUCCCUGGAGCCAUCUCCUUGGUGGCACCUGAGGGAAUUGGGCACCAUAAAUGGCUCAGGAGUGUUAUGGCUUGAGUAUAUGGCUUUUGUGUCCUCAUUCAGGCAAUCCAAAAAUAUUUGCACUAUGAGAUAGUAUUGGAAAGUUCUUGUCUCUUCAAUUGGAAAUUGUUUAGGGCUUUAGGCUCUAAAGAGCUGAAAGUGAAGUGAUAAAAAAAGAAGGAUUUCAGUGAUUCAUAGUCUGAUAGGAGCUAUCUAAAUUUAAUAGUAUAGAGUGUUGGUACACUUUCCAGAGUAUAAUAAGGAGUUUAUAAGGCUAAAAUUGACACAACCAAUGGUCUGGCAGAUGCAAUAUAAGUGCAAAAGUGAAGUGACAGAGUUCAUUUGAUAGGUUUCUUGGAGGAGCAAGAGGGUAUUCCAUUCAUAGUCUGAUGGGAACCAAGACCGUAUAAGAUGUGUUCACGGCCUGUUAAGGACCAUAGCAAUUAAUGAUUUGAAUGGGUUACAAUCCUCAAUCCAAUAGGGAUCCUGAAAACAAAAGUGUUGGAUGUGAUCCAUAGUUUGUUAAGGAUUGUGAAAAUUCAAAGAAAUGAAAAUAUCAUCACCUGAAGUUUAGGAUUGAAUCAAACUGGAAGAAAUAAAGUUUAUCCUGUUCCUACAAGGAGCUUGCCUUUCAGAAGUAGAAGAAAGGCCCAUUGAGCUGGUUUUGAUACCAAGUGCUGUGAAAGAUGCAAAACUGUUGAAUUAUGCUAAAAAAAUGGCUCUGCCAAAAUUUAAUGUUGACAAUUAUUCUUGUUCAUUAUCUUGUCAUUAAUUGCCAACAUUACUAAAAGGGUCUAUUAAAGCUAGACCUCUGCUAGAUUGUGUUAAUUUUUUAUCAAAAAAAUGAAAAAACUUUUGCCUUAUCUUUUUCAGUAUUUUAAAAGUAAAAUUAUUCCUUUGACAAACAUUAGCACAGUCUUUACUCCUUAGCACAUGCUAGUACUAAUGAGGGAAAAAAAGAAAAAAAUUAACUUAGGAUUCGCAGAUGGUUAUUAAAAAGUUAUGAAAAUACAUUUCAUGAUCUACAAGGGUAUUUGCAAGUUCACAAUGAUAUCAAGAUAAAAAUUGAAACUCUUGCAUUGAACAGGUGGGCCUAAGUGUCAUUUGGAAUUUCUGUUUGUGUGUGCUCGCAUGCAUAUUCUCAGCUCGCAUGCAAAGUAGUAAGAAGGGUCAAUGCAUGCCUCAGUUUUUGUUGCUGGAACUUAUUUUGUCAAUGCAUGUCUUGUUAAUCGACUUGCCUAUAAUAUGGACCGAAUUGCAGGGGAGAUGCUUAUCCAAUGGAUAAGGCACUUGGGCAGAACUGAAUUAUGGGUGCAUGAACUGUAAUCAUGUCUAUAGGCAAUUAGGCAUAAGUCUUACUUAAAAGCAACUUUUACAUGCAGUAAUCACGUCUAUAGGCAUAAGUCGUACUCAAAAUUAACUUUUACCAAGAGAUGAGAUGAAUGAAAUGAAGCAUAUUCAAUAUUUUCUUCGUGAUAUUGGUCAAUGCUGCUCAGUUCUACAUUGUGCUGUUACUGAUUCUACUUAUUAAGGAUACAUAUUUAAAAUAACGGCCGUUAUAUAAUGUAACGGUCGUUAUUUACAAGUUUUUGAAGGCUCUAUUAUGCAUUAUCCCUUUAUUUAUAGGCAAAUCCUAAGUUGUAUGUGUAAUGGCCAUUACCAUUGUUACAUAAUGGUAACUGCCGUUGCUUCAAUUAUGCAUCUGCCACGAAUCACACGCAAACAUUAUUUUUUCUUCUCUUUUCAUUGAUGUCUAAAAAUGAUAGGUUUAAUGUCUUUAUUUGAUGUAUUGUGCUUAUUAUAUAGUUUUGUAUAUUAGUUUUACUUAUAUUUACCAAUAUCUAGUUAUUCUAUGAACUUCGAAAAUUUUUCGAAAAAAAAUUUGCGUAGGCAGUUGCCAUACGUUAUGGAGUUACAAGCCUGUUUCCGUUAUCCAUGAUCGAGACCGCGAUUUGAAACCAUGCACGAUACAACUGUCUGGAUUGAUUUUGCAUGUAAAUAGUUUUAUAUCGUUCCCUUACAUAUGAUCUUGUUAUAUGAAGCCCUGAAAUUCUGGUUUUUUGGUAUGAUUAUGCAGGAUUUGUGCGAUCCUGGGAACCGUUCAGA